rnacentral:rRNA from 1 species
CAGCAGCCGCGGUAAUGCGAGGGGGGCAAGCGUUGUUCGGAAUUAUUGGGCGUAAAGGGCUCGCAGGCGGUUUCUUAAGUCUGAUGUGAAAGCCCCCGGCUCAACCGGGGAGGGUCAUUGGAAACUGGGAAACUUGAGUGCAGAAGAGGAGAGUGGAAUUCCACGUGUAGCGGUGAAAUGCGUAGAGAUGUGGAGGAACACCAGUGGCGAAGGCGACUCUCUGGUCUGUAACUGACGCUGAGGAGCGAAAGCGUGGGGAGCGAACAGGAUUAGAUACCCCUGUAGUCCCUGUCUCUUAUAC